rnacentral:lncRNA from 1 species
AGUGGUGGCUGAGAUGAUGUCGAUGGAGAAUAAGACUCCGACUAUAGCAACGACCUAAUAGGUAUGAAAAGGAUAUACAAGAGAUUUUUCUGAUGUGAAGGAUCCACUAAUAGUGGCAAUCACAGAGCAUACUCAACUCUUGAUAUAUUGAGAACACUAAGAAUAGUAGCUCUGAUACCAAGUUGAAUUUAAGAGAGAAAAUAA